rnacentral:rRNA from 1 species
CCUACGGGUGGCAGCAGUGGGGAAUAUUGGACAAUGGGCGAAAGCCUGAUCCAGCCAUGCCGCGUGUGUGAAGAAGGCCUUCGGGUUGUAAAGCACUUUCAGUGGGGAAGAAAGCCUUGGGGCUAAUACCCUCGAGGAAGGACAUCACCCACAGAAGAAGCACCGGCUAACUCCGUGCCAGCAGCCGCGGUAAUACGGAGGGUGCGAGCGUUAUCGGAAUUACUGGGCGUAAAGCGCGCGUAGGCGGUCUGAUAAGCCGGUUGUGAAAGCCCCGGGCUCAACCUGGGAACGGCAUCCGGAACUGUCAGGCUAGAGUGCAGGAGAGGAAGGUAGAAUUCCCGGUGUAGCGGUGAAAUGCGUAGAGAUCGGGAGGAAUACCAGUGGCGAAGGCGGUCUUCUGGACUGACACUGACGCUGAGGUGCGAAAGCGUGGGUAGCAAACAGGAUUAGAUACCCUAGUAGUC